AUUGAACGCUGGCGGCAGGCCUAACACAUGCAAGUCGAACGAGUGGCGGACGGGUAAGUAAUGUCUGGGAAACUGCCUGAUGGAGGGUGAUAACUAAUGGAAACGGUAGCUAAUACCGCAUACCAUCAGAUGUUCCCAGAUGGGAUUAGCUAGUUGGUGGGCUAACGGCUAACCAAGGCGCCGAUCCCUAGCUGGUCUGCGAGGAUGACCAGACACACUGGAACUGAGCCUCGGGCCAGACUCCUACGGGAGGCAGCAGUGGGGAAUAUUGCACAAUGGGCGCAAGCCUGAUGCAGCCAUGCCGCGUGUAUGAAGAAGGCCUUCGCGUUGUAAAGUACUUUCAGCGGGGAGGCGUUACCCGCAGAAGAAGCACCGGCUAACUCCGUGCCAGCCGCCGCGGUAAUUC
rnacentral:rRNA from 1 species